rnacentral:rRNA from 1 species
UGCCAGCAGCCGCGGUAAUACGGAGGGGGCAAGCGUUGUUCGGAAUUACUGGGCGUAAAGCGCGCGUAGGCGGAUUAGUCAGUUAGAUGUGAAAGCCCAGGGCUCAACCUUGGAACUGCAUUUAAUACUGCCAGACUUGAGAUCGGAAGAGAGAGACGGAAUUCCAGGUGUAGUGGUGAAAUACGUAGAUAUCUGGAAGAACACCAGUGGCGAAGGCGGUCUCUUGGUCCAUUACUGACGCUGAGGCGCGAAAGCGUGGGGAGCAAACAGGAUUAGAUA